rnacentral:rRNA from 1 species
GAUGAACGCUAGCUACAGGCUUAACACAUGCAAGUCGAGGGGUAACGAGAGGAAAGCUUGCUUUCCUUGUCGACGACCGGCGCACGGGUGAGUAACGCGUAUCCAACCUGCCCCCAACUAGGGAAUAACCUUGCGAAAGUAAGACUAAUACCCUAUAGUUUCCUCAGAUGUCAUCUGACGAGGAAUAAAGAUUUAUCGGUUGUGGAUGGGGAUGCGUCUGAUUAGCUUGUUGGCGGGGUAACGGCCCACCAAGGCAACGAUCAGUAGGGGUUCUGAGAGGAAGGUCCCCCACAUUGGAACUGAGACACGGUCCAAACUCCUACGGGAGGCAGCAGUGAGGAACAUUGGUCAAUGGGCGGAAGCCUGAACCAGCCAAGUAGCGUGCAGGAUGACGGCCCUAUGGGUUGUAAACUGCUUUUAUACAGGAAUAAAGUUAGCCACGUGUGGUUAUUUGUAGGUACUGUAUGAAUAAGGACCGGCUAAUUCCGUGCCAGCAGCCGCCGUAA